rnacentral:ncRNA from 1 species
CGAUAAUAAACGUUCGACGGUGCCCUUUCGUUAUCGAAAGGGUUAAAAGGGAAUACGGUGAAGGUGUUCGCAUCGCAAGCCGUAGCUGCCCCCGCAACUGUAAGCGAUAGCUUCAUCUCCACACGCGGCAACAGCGCGGGUCACUGAUCGAGGACGAUCGGGAAGGCUUGGAAUGGGGUCAUCAUUCGCGAGCCAGGAAACCUGCCGUCGGCAUUGUUGCGAG